AGCAGCCGCGGUAAUUCCAGCUCCAAUAGCGUAUAUUAAAGUUGUUGCAGUUAAAAAGCUCGUAGUUGAAUUUCGGGGUCAGCAGGUUGGUCAUGCCUCUGGUAUGCNCUGGUUUCGCUGAUUCCUCCUUUCUGAAGAACUGUAAUGUCAUUAAUUUGGUGUUACAGGGAAACAGGACUGUUACUUUGAAAAAAUUAGAGUGUUUAAAGCAAGCUAACGCUUGAAUACAUUAGCAUGGAAUAAUGAAAUAGGACGUUUGAUCCUAUUUUGUUGGUUUCUAGGAUUGACGUAAUGAUUAAUAGGGAUAGUUGGGGGCAUUAGUAUUCAAUUGUCAGAGGUGAAAUUCUUGGAUUUAUUGAAGACUAACUACUGCGAAAGCAUUUGCCAAGGAUGUUUUCAUUAAUCAAGAACGAAAGUUAGGGGAUCGAAGACGAUCAGAUACCAUCGUAGUUUUAACCAUAAACUAUGCCGACUAGAAGUCGGAUGAUGUUAAUUUUUUAAUGACUCA
rnacentral:rRNA from 1 species